GUCAUAAGCCCUUCAGCUGUGAGCACUCUUGCCCAGGUCUGGUCCUCGUGGUCACACCUGAGGGGGUGAGGUUGACUAGCAGAGAAAGAAGAGAACCGGUGAUUGUUGACAGCACAGGAAUCAGGUCAUACGGCCCUCCCAUCUCCUUCCCUCAGCUUCUUGCUGUGUUUUACGAAUGGAUUUUAUAAACCUGUGAUUCGAGCAUCCUCAGUUGCUUCUCGAGCCUUUCCGCUCCAUGAACUCUGGGACAGCUUGCCUGGUACUGCAACUGGAGGACAUCAUUGCAUCCAGAGAGCUUCCCACAUGACAGUCUGUGAGCAAGGGACUUCGCCUCCCUGGAUGGUGGUUUUCUUUUAUGUAAAAGAUGUGAUCGUAGUCUCUAUUUCUCAAGGGUGCUGUGAGAAACACACAGAAUAAGGCCACGUGAAAGUGUGUGGCAGGUAGCGGAUGCUCAGUAACGUGAAGCCUGCCCUUCCCGUAGCCUUUCUCUUCCUCCACUGGGUCUAGACUUCACAUUGUCCCAUGGUUCAAGAUCCUUGGUUCAUCCCGAGUCUUAUCAUCAUCCCAGAAGCUUGGAGGGAGCUCCUGGGGAAAUCCAGCUUCACGGUCCCACACUGAUCACUUCCCCUGGGCAUGGCCUGGUAAAUGCAGCUCAGAUCCGCUCCCCAGGCAAGUCAAGGAAGUUGCUGCCCAGAAACCAAGUGAGGACAUUUACAAGAACCGGCAGCAGCAGCAGCAGCAGCAGCAGAAACUGGAUUUGCUUUUUCACCAGAGGAUCCAGAUUUCCCUGUGGCCUCGCAAACAAAAAAGAAGGAAGACGGAGCAGCACAGUCAUCCCUUUGUGAAAAAGGCAUUCAGGUAACUGAGUGACUCAGCAAGCCUGGGUCUUGGGGAAAUUACGAAUACCUGGUUGAAGGGCAGUCCUCAGGCAGAGCCCCUGAGACCUGUUGAACUCUAGAGUGUGGCAGCAGAGGAGAUUCAUGGCCUGCCCAGGGGCAGUGUCCACAGGGGCAGAGUGCCCCCAGGACUCGCCCUGGCUCAGUUAAGGACUCCCCUCAGAAUCUGCAGAGGUGCAAGGCAGGGUGCAGCUCUGCCUGGACUGAGCUGGAAAUGCAGCCAUGUGGCUGAAGUGGCCACUUCCUGCUUUCUGUAAAGCAGCCACGCGGACCUGUGAACAGGUAAGACCCUUACUCUUGAUUACUGAAGAACUAGAACCCAGGCUCCUUUGACCUUCUCUCCAAAAACCCAGAUGACACGAGGACCCUCUCCCAGCUGAAGGGGCAGAUUCAUGCUUUAGAGUGUGGGGAGUCAGCGUGGGGGCACGUGAGUGUUUAGCUUAGGUGUGGGCCUCACAAAAGAGUCAAAACAAGUCAGCCAGGACUCCAGCAGCCUUCAUUGUGUGAGAGAUGCCAGCACUGUGGCCACAGCCUGACAGCUGCGCAGGCCACAUAAUGUGUGGGGCCGAGUGGAAAACGUGGGGUUUUUUUUGUUGUUGUUGUUCAAAAUCAUGAGCUUCCAGGGGCGGCAGCAGAACUUUAAACUACUCUGGGGCCCUUCUGAGCACAGGACUUGGUAUGACUGCACAGGGAUACUUGGCAGGCCAGGUGCAGGGACAGAGCGGUCUGCCCAGAGGCCAGCAGGUCCCCAGUCAGUGUCUGGCACCAGCUCCCUUCAUGACCUGGGCUGGCUCAGUUCCACGGGACUCCCAAGGCUGGAGGCUUCCCCGGAACAUCAUCCUCAGGGAUUUUCCAACAGGAGCAGCCUCUGGCUUCAGAUCUGUCCUUGUUUGACUCAUAAAUUAUCACUCAGACUGAGAAAAUUAACACUCAGUGAUUCCUGAAAGGGUGCCCAGUGCAAUAGAUAAUUUUCAAAGUGAGUUCAUCGGGGGAUUUAAUAGCCAGGCAAUGUCCAUUAAAACAGCGACAAACAUGGGGAGAAAAGGAAAAGUUCCGACUGGAAACUCAUGCUGGCUUGACAGUUGUUCUCAGGGAGCAGAACAGAAGUGGGCAUUUUCAUUCUGGUUACACCAUCAGCGAUACCUCCACGGAGCCUCUCAGCUGGUUCCUCCUGGGUCUGGGCCACAGGCCUCCCAGUAUUGCCGGUCUCGGAAGACAUCUGUGGGCAGGUUCUGUAGAGGGAAUCUGAGGCUGUGUGGGAUGAGCUGCAGGACCCCACGUGGGGAAAGGCAGGAGGCAGCACCAGCUCCUUCACCAGGACCUGAGGGUACUGUGGCUCAUCAGGGGCCAUCGAGGACAUGGAGACCCUGCACAGUGUUUGAGGAGUCCUGCUACAUCAGUUUAUUCUGGUUUAGGUGGUUGAGGGGAGACUCAGUGAAGCCUUGGGGGUUCAGGGCUACGCUGCCAGCCUCUGGGACAGCAGCCCCAGUGUCCCCCGACCCAGGCCUUGCUCCUCCCUGCUGAUGAACGGCCACUCUGCUCCCAGAGGCACACCUGUCCCGAAGACACCCGGUUCUCAUGCUCUUCUCUGCAGCACCUGAAUUGGGCAUUCCUGGGUAAAGCAGUUUAAGUUACUUUCACUUUUAUCCACCUUGUUUCCAUUAUUUCAACCAUGCAUGUCCCUUGUGUAUGUAGGAUAAAGGUGUCUAAGAAUAAAGGUCCAUGAUUUAAAGUUUUUUCCUCUUCUUUCCCUGUCCUGACCACCUGAUCAUAAACUUGUAGAAAUAAAGUGGAUCUCAUGUUGUGUAUCUUUCGAUGCAUCUAGAGAGAUGGUUAUAUUCAUAUAAAUAAACGGGCACAUCCAGCACAUUAUUUCUAGUUGUCGUCUGCUAAUAAGUUUACAUCUGGUAAAUGCCAGUGUUUCAUUAAAUGGCUGCAUUGCACAUGAGUCAAUCUGUGUGACAAAGAAUAUGGCAGGCUUUGUACAGCCUUUGUAAAGACAUUCUUCAAUGUUGCCUUUUAAAAUAGAAAUGUUAAAUCCUGUAACUAAUCAACCUAUGCCUUGUUAGAGGGCUGACAUUUUCAAUAAUUCCUUUACAAAGGGUAGUGAGAUGCAUCAGAUCCCCCAGUGGCCCCCAAGUAGGGACAGUGACAGUCAGCAGUUCUUUACGGACCUCUGCUCCAUGGCAGGUUCUCCGCCGGCCCUGGCUGCGGGCGGCCAUCAUCUAACAAGAUGCUUCGGUCCAUGGGUGGAGGACAAAGGCCUAUGAGCUUGGGGAGCGAGUUCUUUCGUCUCCUACAUGACCUUCAUCUGCUCACGUUUCCCACGAAGUGCAUCUGGGUUGGAAGGAGAUGGUGGUUUCCCACGGAAGUCUGGUCCCUAAGUGACGCCUCUGCUGCCUACAUCAGAAUCUCCCAGGCUUGCUCCACAAUGGUCCCGUCACGUGGUGCAGACUCAGGCGCGGUCUUGUGUGUGCAGAGGCAGGCUUGGUCUUGUGUGCUCUUGAUCAUGCACCUAGUCACAUCUGUUCUACAGUGUUGCAUUCUUCUAAUUUCCAUGCACAUCUUUGUAUAGGCGUGUUCCCAUUGUUCCCAUGCCAAUAAGUGGUGUGCAAGGUUCCAGAGUGCGCCAGUAUUUCUUUAGUCGGUGUCAUGCUGUUGGAUAUUCAGGUUUUUUAACCUAGUGUAAAUAACAUUCACAUUUCUAAAAACCAGAAGAGUGUUUGUGAUUAAGAUAUCAUCUUAGUGGAUAUUAAAUUGCUACAUCUGAUUUCAUUUCUCUUUCCCAAAUAAAGAGUCAGUUGUGUGGGCUAGUCUCAUUCUGAAACUGCACACUCCCAUCCCAGAGGUAGAAAGCGAGAUCUCCUGCCUGCAUUUCAUGGAGCAUGUGAUUAUGGAGGUGUCCAGUUCCAGCAAACAGACCCCACAUUCUUUUCCUUCAGUGACUCAGACGCAAUAUGUGGACAGUCCCAGACAGUAUCGCUCCCUCACGUUCAUUAACCUCCAGAGAUUAAACAUCACCUGAUACACAGAACUGUGGGCUCCCCGUUUGGCUAAGCAUCAGGUGCAGCCAGGUUCUUACCUAGGUGCACGUGACAAGGUGCUGCCAGAUGCCACCAGCGCAGACAGUCAGUGAGCCCACCUCAUCAGAGGGCACAUGAGAUCCCCAAAUGAGAAAGAACUCUAAGGAGCCAAAAUCUGCCAAGAUGGGUACAUUAAAGCUUGCAACUUUGCACGUGAGUGCACCCUCAGACUCAGCCAGUUUAUUCUCCUUUGCAGUCCGUUCUGAAAAGUCCAGCCAGAUGACGGCUAAAGAGUAGAGAAUGGAAGGUGGAAGGCGGUUGCUGCUUGCAGAAGAGGCACGCUGGCAGCAUUGGCAGGGAGGAAGAGACUGGAAACUGAGUAGCAGAUCCGAGAAACCAAAAUGCUCAGCAAAUGAGGGCAGGUGGCAUGGAGCUACUUCCCUGGGUCCAAGAGCCUAAUUACGUUAUUGUUCCAUAAGUUCAUGGCCUGCGGUCAUCAGGGAAAAUAAAACACUGACUGGGGGUCGGUCUUUUCUGUUUAGAGGAGGCUCCCUGAAACCUCCCCCUCCCGGGUUCAAGCGAUUCUCCUGCCUCAGCCUCCCGAGUAGCUGGAACUAUAGGGGCCCGCCACCACUCCCGGCUAAUUUUUUUUUGUUUUUUUUUUUUUUGUUUUUUUGUAGAGACGGGGGUUUCACCGUGUUAGCCAGGAUGGUCUCGAUCUGCUGACCUCGCGAUCCGCCCGCCUCGACCUCCCAAAGUGCUGGGAUUACAGGCGUGAGCCACCGCGCCCGGCCUCAGCUGGUUUUUCAAAAGUCAUGGCGUGUAAUUGUCAGAACAGUGAACUUCGGAGAUUCACCGGAGGGGCGAGGCCACAGCUUGACCGCGAGCACCUGAGCAUCCUGCACCGCCUGCGACGGCCGUCAGGGGGCGCGAUGCCGCCUCACAGAACCUCAAGAGGCGCCCGGGUUCCGGCACAGACGCCCUGCGGCUCCAGGGGGCGGAGCCGAGCCGCCUCCUCAGGACCUACGCAGGAGACGCCUCCAUCCCUACAGGGACACCUGAGAGGACCCAGCCUCCUCCUCCUCAGGACCCACUCGGGAGACGCCGCUGGCUCUAUAGGAACACCUGGGGACCGUGGCCAGGGACGACCCAGCCUCCUUCUCCUCAGCUCCUCAGGAACGACUGGGGAAGCUGUGGCUUCAUGGUCCCCGAGGCUGCCCGAGGAAAGACAGAGUCUCAACCAGGCUGGAGUGCAGUGGCGUGAUCUCGGCUCACUGCAACCUCCGCCUCCCAGGUUCAAGCCAUUCUGCCUCAGCCUCCUGAGUAGCUGGUAUUUCAGGAGAGCCAGGAGGGGGCGCACAUGCGCCGAGAAACUGUGAGCAAGAGCGUCUGUGCUGAACCAUGGCUCCACCAGAGGGCGCGCGAUCCCGCCCCAACCAACUUCCCGCUGAGGUGCCAGAAGCAGCGAGGAGCUUCAACUUCCUCAGGGCAGCACGAGGGUCAUGUUAAUUUGGUGUUCUUCAUUGAUUCCCCAACAGUUAUUGCCGUACCAGAUUUGCAGUGUCGCACAAAAUACUGCGGUAUAUUGGACUGAAAGCAUGGACACUCUCCCAGGUUGUUGGAACGUAAUAAGAGUUAAUGUGUGGUCUCUGCUGCAGUGUCCUGAAACAGAGCGCUAAGCCUCGGGAAUGUACGAAGUAAUGUGUCUUUCGUAUGCUAAUGAAAUGAUUGAUGGCUGGGGGCACCUGGAUAGCCUCAGUGGGGCUGGCUGCCAAGGGAAGCAACCUUGUCAUUAGAGGAUUUGAAAUUUCUUCCCCCGUCCCGUCUCUGUGAAGGGGAGAGGUGCUGAUGGUUGAGUUGAUCACCUAUGGCCACAGACGUAACCAAUUUGCCUGUGUAAUAAAGGACAGGGUUGGGAGAGCAUCUGUGUUGCUCUCCCAACACAGGAGAUACUGGGAGAAUCAUGUCUGGUGAGGGCAUGGGAGGCCUGCAUUCCUUCCACAUACCUCACCUUGUGCAUCUCUUCGUCUGGCUUUUCAUUUGUAGCGUUUAAAAGAUCCUUGGUAAUAAGUCAGGAAUAGUAAGUACACUGCGUUCAUGGGUUGUGCAAUGUGAUGUAGCAAAUUGCUGAACCCAAUAAGGGUGUUGUGGGAGCCUCCAAUCUGUAGCAAAGUCAGACAGAAGGUAACCUGGGAACCUACUGUUUGUGGUUGGCACCUUAAGUGGUUACAGUCUUGUAACGGAGUACCCAUAUUUUCUUACAGAAGAAAUGAAUUAGUUUUACCAUUUUGCUGUUCCUGCACUUAGCUCUUUAGGAAUGCAAUUAUAAGCUUUACUGUCUCUCCACCAGACACUUCCUAUACUGCAAACUUUUCCAACUGUGUGAUAACUUAAAAGUUCCAGGGACCAAACCUUGAAACAAACUGGCACUUCCAUAUCUCUCCCCCACCAGGAGAUUGGCAGCAGACAACAGUCAAUUUACAACCUGGCUCUGCCCAUGGUGGUGCUAGCAAGAUCACCUAAUGGAGAAAACAUCAGAGCAUGUCCCAUAGACCCUGCACCUCCUCACCUCAUCCCCUGCGUGCCAUUCUGGCAAGUCCGAAAGCCCUGCUUUCUGCCCAGAAAGUGGAAGCGCUUCCCUUAAGGCAAGAGCCUGUAUGUUCCCUUCAGCUAAGCUCUGGCAUAAAGUCACUUUCUUUUUACCAUCCUUGUGUUUGUCAUUUAAAUUUGCAAGCAACAAGGGGCAUGACGUGUAUUCCUAGGACUGAGUCCUUAGCCUGUGGGGUCUGAUGCUUUCUCCAUUUACUGUCACAAUUGGGUUGCACUGUAGGACACCCAGCUGGUACCCAAGAUUUGGUCUGUGUGGGGAAAAAACCGAUGUAUCUGGUAACAGAAGUGUUCUGUGUUGAGUGUUGAGAGUAUACUAUAAGACAGUUGUUUUUCCUAUUAUAACAUUUUGUCUUUCAACUUUUUUCUUCAUGUCUUCUGAGACGUAAAAGUUGUAAAUUUUGAGGAAAUAAAUUGAUUUAUUUUUC